rnacentral:lncRNA from 1 species
GAGGAGAGGAGAGGAGAGGAGAGGAGAGGAGAGGAGAGGAGAGGAGAGGAGGAAGCCUCAGGGCGCACUGCCUCUGGGCAGUGUCCCUGCUGCAACCAGGAGCCACCCCAGCGCCUACUUCUGGAUGGGGUCACCCAGAAUGGCUCGGUUAUAGCCUCGGGCCAGUCACGUGCGUGGACAAACUGACGACGGAGCGCGCCGGAGGGGCCUGGGUUCCUGCGGAGGCAGCCGCCAGGGGGCUGAGAGAGGGAAAGAGUGCAGAGUCUCCUGCAAGCCCACGGCUCCCGGCUCCGGCGAAGGUCGAACCCUGCGCCUCGGAGACUUCCGCGGGUCCUCGUCCCGGACGCCGAGGCAGAGCCGCCGACGUCAACCCUGUCGGGGAAGUUGUUCCUGGCCUAGCCGCCGGCUUCCUUUGAGUGCUUGGGGCCGCGUGCAGGCAGGAGGAGAUGGAGGCAAUUUCCAGCUAUCAAUCCUGAAUCACUGGGUCACGUAAAGCCCAGCCUCUCUCCGAGCCUCCCUCAUCACCUUUGGGAACAUAGCCCGAGCCUGCCCUCCAUGUUCUGAUUUCUGGAGGAGGGGACCCCUGCGCCCCGAUCUCUGAGCGGGUCCACCUGUAUGCAUUUUGCUCCAAGCAGCCAGGAAUCAAUGCUGGGAG